GCCACCUUAGCUCAGUUGGCAGAGCACUUGACUUGUAAUCAUGUGGUCCUCGGUUCAAAUCCGAGAGGUGGCU
rnacentral:tRNA from 1 species